AAUCCCAUCCUUCACAAACCCCAAAACCAACCCCAACCAAGAAAAAAAAAAAUAGAGAGUGUAAGAGCAAAUCGAAAUCUCAGAACUAUUGUGAGACCUCAUCUCUCUUCAUCAUCUUCUUCUACUCUCAUCCCUUCGAUUUUUUGCUUCAAUGGAUAUUUGAUUUGCUCUGGGACUGCGUUUGGGUUUGGAGAUAUGUGCUCUCGUUGAUCCUGUGGUGUAGGCAGAAAAA